rnacentral:rRNA from 1 species
GACGAACGCUGGCGGCGGGCUUAACACAUGCAAGUCGAACGGAAAGGCCCUGCUUUUGUGGGGUGCUCGAGUGGCGAACGGGUGAGUAACACGUGAGUAACCUGCCCUUUACUUUGUGAUAACUUCAGGAAACUGGGGCUAAUACCGGAUAGGAGCUCCUGCUGCAUGGUGGGGGUUGGAAAGUUUCGGCGGUUGGGGAUGGACUGGCGGCUUAUCAGCUUGUUGGGGGGGUAGUGGCUUACCAAGGCUUUGACGGGUAGCCGGCCUGGGAGGGUGAACGGCCACCUUGGGACUGAGAUACGGAGCAGACUCCUACGGGAGGCAGCAGUGGGGAAUAUUGCACAAUGGGCGGAAGCCUGAUGCAGCAACGCCGCGUGCGGGAUGACGGCCUUCGGGUUGUAAACCGCUGUCGCCUGUGACGAAGCGUGAGUGACGGUAAUGGGUAAAGAAGCACCGGCUAACUACGUG